GCCCGGGUGGCUCAAUCGGUUGAGUGUCCGACUUCUGCUCAGGUUGUGAUCUCGCAGUUUGUAGGUUGGAGCCCUGCUUUGGGCU
rnacentral:tRNA from 1 species